rnacentral:rRNA from 1 species
AUUGAACGCUGGCGGCAGGCUUAACACAUGCAAGUCGAGCGGGGAAGGGUAGCUUGCUACCUGACCUAGCGGCGGACGGGUGAGUAAUGCUUAGGAAUCUGCCUAUUAGUGGGGGACAACAUCUCGAAAGGGAUGCUAAUACCGCAUACGUCCUACGGGGGAAAGCAGGGGACCUUCGGGCCUUGCGCUAAUAGAUGAGCCUAAGUCGGAUUAGCUAGUUGGUGGGGUAAAGGCCUACCAAGGCGACGAUCUGUAGCGGGUCUGAGAGGAUGAUCAGCCACAUUGGGACUGAGACACGGCCCAAACUCCUACGGGAGGCAGCAGUGGGGAAUAUUGGACAAUGGGCGCAAGCCUGAUCCAGCCAUGCCGCGUGUGUGAAGAAGGCCUUCGGGUUGUAAAGCACUUUCAGUAGGGAGGAAGGGUUAAGUGUUAAUAGUACUUAACUUUGACGUUACCUACAGAAGAAGCACCGGCUAACUCUGUGCCAGCCGCCGCGGUAAGAC